ACACCGGGAUCCGGCAUUCCCUCCGCUAUUCCCGGGGCCGCCCGGGUUCCCCAUUCCCUCCGCUAUUCCCGGGGGCCGCCCGGGUUCCCCAUUCCCUCCGCUAUUCCCGGGGCCGCCCGGGUUCCCCAUUCCCUCCGGUAUUCCCGGGGCCGCCCGGGUUCCCCAUUCCCUCCGCCGUUCCCCGGGGCCGCCCGGGUUCCCCAUUCCCUCCGCUAUUCCCGGGGGCCGCCCGGGUUCCCCAUUCCCUCCGCCGUUCCCGGGGCCGCCGGGGCAGCGCCGCAGAGCUCCGCAAACAGCCUGGACACGGCAGCCCAGGAGUUUUCCCCUUUUCCUCAUGUAGAAAGGGGGUACGUGGGGGCACAGAGGGUCGUGGUACAGCUCAGAGUUGAUUUUUCCAGAAUAUUGGAACAGCAGUCAGCUCUCCGUUCAAAUUGGCAAGAAACGGUGAAUAGAGAGGUUUAUGGUUGAAAGCUCUUGUGCAUUCCUGGUGAAGGGAAGUUUAAACACACCACUCGCUAUUUCAGAAGAAGAGGGGAAGGCAGGACUUCGUUCUUCUCCUGACUGUGUCCAGAUCUAUGCCAUAAUUUGAAAAUGGUGUUUGCAAACAUUUUCAACAUCUACUGAACAAACCAGACCACAGAUACUUUGUUCAAUGUGCAAGGCUCAUCACCAGCAGCACCCACACUUCUGCAGGGACAGAUGCACUGGUCAGACCAGGUGACUGCAUCAGCAGAAGCUGCACACACACAGCUCCAGGAGAAAAAUCAGGGAGAUUGACUAGCCUCUCCAACUAAUAACAGUGACAGAAAACAGAGCAUCAGAGAAGAAUUUAUUGAUCCCUCAUUACCAGGGAAUGUGAAAAAAUAGGAUGAAACCACAAGAAGAAAUAAAAUAUAUUGGCCCAAUGUAAAGGAUGUCACACAGACAAGUCAGAGAUUAAAACCAAACAAGAGAGUUUCUGGGACAUCAAAAACUCAUAGGAAUGUUUGAAUAAUAUGUAAACUCGUGAAUAUGCAUGUAACCCCAGCAAUGUAACAGUAUAUAGAGAAUAUUGUUUUAGGUUAAAGGUGUGUAUUUUGGUCAGUCACCAAAAACACCCCAGUGCUGGAUAUUUGUUCUUU